CGUCCUACGGGACGCAGCAGUGAGGAAUAUUGGUCAAUGGGCGCAAGCCUGAACCAGCCAAGUCGCGUGAGGGAUGACGGUCCUAUGGAUUGUAAACCUCUUUUGUCGGGGAGCAAGGCCCGCCACGUGUGGCGGGAAGGAGAGUACCCGAAGAAAAAGCAUCGGCUAACUCCGUGCCAGCAGCCGCGGUAAUACGGAGGAUGCGAGCGUUAUCCGGAUUUAUUGGGGUUAAAGGGUGCGUAGGCGGAAGGUGAAGUCAGCGGUCAAAUGUCGGUGCUCAACACCGGGCUGCCGUUGAAACUGGG
rnacentral:rRNA from 1 species